CAACGUAGGUAAUCUACCUUCGGGUGGGGAAGUAACCCAGGGAAACUUGGGCUAACACCGCAUAAUGCAGCGGCACCACAUGGUGACAGUUGUUAAAGCGGGGGAUUUUAGGACCUCGCGCCUGAAGAGGAGCCUGCGGCGGAUUAGCUAGUUGGUGAGGUAACGGCUCACCAAGGUGACGAUCCGUAGCCGGCCUGAGAGGGCGGUCGGCCGCACUGACACUGACAUACGGGUCAG
rnacentral:rRNA from 1 species